GAUGAACGCUGGCGGCGUGCCUAAUACAUGCAAGUCGAGCGAACAGACGAGGAUCUUGCUCCUCUGACGUUAGCGGCGGACGGGUGAGUAACACGUGGAUAACCUACCUAUAAGACUGGGAUAACUUCGGGAAACCGGAGCUAAUACCGGAUAAUAUAUUGAACCGCAUGGUUCAAUAGUGAAAGACGGUUUUGCUGUGACUUAUAGAUUGAUCCGCGCCGCAUUAGCUAGUUGGUAAGGUAACGGCUUACCAAGUCAACGAUGCGUAGCCGACCUGAGAGGGUGAUCGGCCACACUGGAACUGAGACACGGUCCAGACACCUACGGGAGGCAGCAGUAGGGAAUCUUGCGCAAUGGGCGAAAGCCUGACGGAGCAACGCCGCGUGAGUGAUGAAGGUCUUCGGAUCGUAAAACUCUGUUAUUAGGGAAGAACAAAUGUGUAAGUAACUAUGCACGUCUUGACGGUACCUAAUCAGAAAGCCACGGCUAACUACGUG
rnacentral:rRNA from 1 species